UGUCCAGACUCCUACGGGAGGCAGCAGUGGGGAAUAUUGCGCAAUGGGCGAAAGCCUGACGCAGCGACGCCGCGUGAGGGAUGAAGGUCUUCGGAUCGUAAACCUCUGUCAGCAGGGAAGAACGGUCACUGUGCUAAUCAGCAGUGAAUUGACGGUACCUGCAAAGGAAGCACCGGCUAACUACGUGCCAGCAGCCGCGGUAAUACGUAGGGGGCAAGCGUUGUCCGGAUUUACUGGGUGUAAAGGGAGCGUAGGCGGUUUAGCAAGUCAGAAGUGAAAGCCCGGGGCUUAACUCCGGGACUGCUUUUGAAACUGUUGAACUAGAUUGCAGGAGAGGCAAGUGGAAUUCCUAGUGUAGCGGUGAAAUGCGUAGAUAUUAGGAGGAACACCAGUGGCGAAGGCGGCUUACUGGACUGUAAAUGACGCUGAGGCUCGAAAGCGUGGGGAGCAAACAGGAUUAGAUACCCGAGUA
rnacentral:rRNA from 1 species